GACGAACGCUGGCGGCAUGCCUAACACAUGCAAGUCGAGCGAGCUGAUUCCUUCGGGAUGAAGCUAGCGGCGGACGGGUGAGUAACACGUGGGCAACCUGCCUCAUAGAGGGGAAUAGCCUUCCGAAAGGAAGAUUAAUACCGCAUAAGAUUGUAGCUUCGCAUGAAGUAGCAAUUAAAGGAGCAAUCCGCUAUGAGAUGGGCCGGCGGCGCAUCAGCUAGUUGGUGAGGUAACGGCUCACCAAGGCGACGAUGCGUAGCCGACCUGAGGGGGUGAUCGGCCACAUUGGGACUGAGACACGGCCCAGACUCCUACGGGAGGCAGCAGUGGGGAAUAUUGCACAAUGGGGGAAACCCUGAUGCAGCAAUGCCGCGUGAGUGAUGACGGCCUUCGGGUUGUAAAGCUCUGUCUUCGGGGACGAUAAUGACGGUACCCGAGGAGGAAGCCACGGCUAACUACGUGCCAGCCGCCGCCGUAA
rnacentral:rRNA from 1 species